AUUGAACGCUGGCGGCAGGCCUAACACAUGCAAGUCGAGCGAGCGGCGGACGGGUGAGUAAUGUCUGGGAAACUGCCCGAUGGAGGGGGAUAACUACUGGAAACGGUAGCUAAUACCGCAUACUAUCAGAUGUGCCCAGAUGGGAUUAGCUAGUAGGUGGGGUAACGGCUCACCUAGGCGACGAUCCCUAGCUGGUCUGAGAGGAUGACCAGCCACACUGGAACUGAGACACGGUCCAGACUCCUACGGGAGGCAGCAGUGGGGAAUAUUGCACAAUGGGCGCAAGCCUGAUGCAGCCAUGCCGCGUGUAUGAAGAAGGCCUUAGGGUUGUAAAGUACUUUCAGCCGGGAGGCGUUACCCACAGAAGAAGCACCGGCUAACUCCGUGCCAGCCGCCGCGGUAAUAC
rnacentral:rRNA from 1 species